GGCUGUUGGAGUGCAAAACCCAACUUCAUUAAUGCUGCUAAAGGCUGGGCUUUGUGUUUAAUAUUGAAGUGACAGUUUGCUAAAUCACUACUAAAAAAAAAACAAAAACAACCCAGGUGCCCUUAUCAAUAAGAGCAAACACACCCAAAUAACCUAAGGCACACUUUUAGAGGUCAGCUGUGUUAUUCCCUGGAUCUGAACAGUUCUUUAGUACUCUUGAGGCUGUUUCACCCCCUUGGCACAAUUCAGGCUCUUGCAGCAGACAGUCAAGCAGCACUGGCCACAACAGAGGUUCUUUGGAUGGGUCAGGGUGACAGGGGCAGGGACAGACGAGGUUUUCAGGGGUGUGUUGCAAUUUCCACCUGCUGCUGGUUAAAUACUCAUGGUUCAGAGCAGCUGAGGGGUGGGUUUAGUGCAGGGCACCCCAGAGCUUUCCCUCCAGCUGCCAAGGAAGCCCACAGUGAGUUGUUUCAAUGAGCUGAUCCUGCUGGAAACCACAGCCAGCCAAGAAUGGGAUUGCUUUGCACUGGGAUCAGUUCCCUGAGCCACCAGGCUGCCAGGAAUAGAGCAGGGGCAAAGGGCUGGAAGGGGGGCACAGAUAUUUAAGAAAUUGCUUGGGACCUUGUAAAGGCAGCUAGUGAGAUCCUCACUUCACACUGACAGAUUAGUGAGGUUAAGGAGUGGGCUGUUCCUGCCUUUCUCUUGGCACCAGGGACAUGGGGAUUUUGGAAUGAUUCUGGAGGAGGGAGGUGACUCCCCCAGCCCUGCCUUUGGAGAAUAUUCUGAGAGUCUGGGUGGAUCUGACUGACCCCACCACACUCCACAGGGAUUGUUUUAUUAGUGGCUUCCUGCAGAGAGAGGAAGGCACGAGGUGACAAUGGUGAACAGCUGGGAAAUAGCUGCUGGUUUAUUAGAGCAGCAGGAAAUGUUUGACUUCGCCUUUUCUAAGAGCUGUGAUGGCCAAACCUGGGCUAACCAACCCUGAAAAGAACCCUGGCAGGGGAAUGGAUUCCCUGCUCUGUCCCAGUGCUCCAGGCAGAGGGAGCUGCUCCCUCUCUGCUCCCCGUCCCCAGAGACCCCCAGGAACCCCCCAAAUAUUGGGCUGCUCUUCCCCCCUCUGAGGUGAGGGGUGCUCCUCACUGCCUGAGGUAGAGGGUUGUGAAUAAACCCAAGAGGUGCCUGCUUGGAAACCCAGAAUUGUUGCAGGCUCUUACCCCACCUCAGAAUUGUGAGAUCAGCCUGGGAAAUCUUUUAUGAGCCCUGGGAGGGAAGAUGGAGAGCCACAAAUCAUCCCAAUUUACAUCAUCUUGCCAGUGCCUGUGUGAGCCCUUGGGAGUUUCUUCACAGAUCCUUAUUGUUACUUGGAUCAAGAAAUCACCCAAACCUUAGGUUUGCUGAAGCUAACCCUGACAAUCUUCAAUAAACAAAGCCAAAGGGAGUUGGAGAUUGGAUAUCUGGGACCUUAAAUUAAUGACCCUUCAAGAAUGUUGGAGUAACCAGAAGACGGAGAGGAGAUAAAGGCCUGGAAAGCUGGAAACUCCCCUUUGAGAGGAAGAUGAUGAAAGGACUAAAGAAUGUGGGCCAGAUUAGCAUGAAGAGCAAGAGAUCAGGACACCUCUUGGAGCUCUCCAAUUCAGGUUUUCCAUACUCAGAGGAUGGUCAUCAAAAGCUGACAGCAAGGCCUGGGAUGAAAUUCCUCACUCCUCAAAGCUCCACCCUCACCCAUUGAGAAAUACCAAGAUAUUUGAAGUGUUUAACUGAACUCGAGGGGAUUUUUUAACAGGAACACUUUUAUGUAUGUAAUCCUUCCUACAUAUAUCUCUAUUUUUUUCCUUUGUGUGUGUGCAUGUGUUAUUUGAUUGAAAUCCCUAUAGCAAGAAUAGUAUAAACACUGGGAUCUCAGCUCUAUAAUUAAAUCACUGUUGUGACUGCAGUAAAUCCUAUUGAUUCCCUCCAUAAAUGUUUAGUCAAUGAUUAAGUGCUGCUAAAUAAAGUUUUUUAGAUAAAAACUA